AGGACGAACGCUGGCGGCGUGCUUAACACAUGCAAGUCGAACGGAAAGGCCCCUUCGGGGGUACUCGAGUGGCGAACGGGUGAGUAACACGUGGGCAAUCUGCCCUGCACUUCGGGAUAAGCCUGGGAAACUGGGUCUAAUACCGGAUAGGACCACUUGGCGCAUGCCUUGUGGUGGAAAGCUUUUGCGGUGUGGGAUGGGCCCGCGGCCUAUCAGCUUGUUGGUGGGGUGAUGGCCUACCAAGGCGACGACGGGUAGCCGGCCUGAGAGGGUGUCCGGCCACACUGGGACUGAGAUACGGCCCAGACUCCUACGGGAGGCAGCAGUGGGGAAUAUUGCACAAUGGGCGCAAGCCUGAUGCAGCGACGCCGCGUGGGGGAUGACGGCCUUCGGGUUGUAAACCUCUUUCAGCAGGGACGAAGCGAAAGUGACGGUACCUGCAGAAGAAGCACCGGCCAACUACGUGCCAGCAGCCGCGGUAAUACGUAGGGUGCGAGCGUUGUCCGGAAUUACUGGGCGUAAAGAGCUCGUAGGUGGUUUGUCGCGUUGUUCGUGAAAACCGGGGGCUUAACCCUCGGCGUGCGGGCGAUACGGGCAGACUAGAGUACUGCAGGGGAGACUGGAAUUCCUGGUGUAGCGGUGGAAUGCGCAGAUAUCAGGAGGAACACCGGUGGCGAAGGCGGGUCUCUGGGCAGUAACUGACGCUGAGGAGCGAAAGCGUGGGGAGCGAACAGGAUUAGAUACCCUGGUAGUCCACGCCGUAAACGGUGGGUACUAGGUGUGGGUUUCCUUCCUUGGGAUCCGUGCCGUAGCUAACGCAUUAAGUACCCCGCCUGGGGAGUACGGCCGCAAGGCUAAAACUCAAAGGAAUUGACGGGGGCCCGCACAAGCGGCGGAGCAUGUGGAUUAAUUCGAUGCAACGCGAAGAACCUUACCUGGGUUUGACAUGCACAGGACGCGUCUAGAGAUAGGCGUUCCCUUGUGGCCUGUGUGCAGGUGGUGCAUGGCUGUCGUCAGCUCGUGUCGUGAGAUGUUGGGUUAAGUCCCGCAACGAGCGCAACCCUUGUCUCAUGUUGCCAGCGGGUAAUGCCGGGGACUCGUGAGAGACUGCCGGGGUCAACUCGGAGGAAGGUGGGGAUGACGUCAAGUCAUCAUGCCCCUUAUGUCCAGGGCUUCACACAUGCUACAAUGGCCGGUACAAAGGGCUGCGAUGCCGCAAGGUUAAGCGAAUCCUUUUAAAGCCGGUCUCAGUUCGGAUCGGGGUCUGCAACUCGACCCCGUGAAGUCGGAGUCGCUAGUAAUCGCAGAUCAGCAACGCUGCGGUGAAUACGUUCCCGGGCCUUGUACACACCGCCCGUCACGUCAUGAAAGUCGGUAACACCCGAAGCCAGUGGCCUAACCCUUGGGAGGGAGCUGUCGAAGGUGGGAUCGGCGAUUGGGACG
rnacentral:rRNA from 1 species